AUGAUAAAUGCAGUUUGGUGUUAUGUGCCAAAUGCCCCUGUUCUUCCAGCCCUUCUUCACAAGCUCUCCUCUCCCCCAGGUUUGGGAAGGGAACCCMCCAGAGAAGGGGGGGAUCCUAUGCCGGGACCCAGCCCCGUGCCUGCACUCUGGUCCCACACCAGGGUCCUUGAUCCGAUGCUUGGAUGCCUGUCAGACACCAGGAGCGCGGUCCCAUGCUGGGACCCUGGUCCCAUCUCAGGAUCCCAGUCCCAUGCUGGGACCCAAGUCCCACAUCAGGACUCCAGUCCUAUGCCGGAACCCCUGUCCUGUGCCAGGACUCCUGUCCCACACCAUGACCAUGGUCCCAUUCUAGGACCCCAGUCCCACACUGAAACCCCUGUCCCAUGCCAGGAGUCUGGUCCCCCACCAGGGACCCAGGCCCAUGCUGGGACCUCUGUUAGACACCAGGACCCCAGUCCUACACCAGGACCCUGGUCCCAUGCGGGGCCCCUGGUCCCACACCAGGAACCCAGUCCUAUGCAGGAACCCCAGUCCCAUGCUGGGACUGGACCCCUGUCCCAUACCACAAACAUGGUCCCAUGCCAGGAUCCCAGCCCGGUGCUGGGACCCUGGUCUCACCUCAGGAUCCCAAUCCCAUGCAAGGACCAUGGUCCCAUCUCAGGACCCCAGUCCUAUACCAAGACCCCGGUCCCACACCACGACCAUGGUUCCACGAGGAUCUUACUCCCACGUGGGGAAGCCUGUUCCACACCACAACCAAGGUCCCAUGCCAGGACCCCAGCCCCACACCAGGACCCCCUGGCACCCAGCUCCUCGAAGCACCAAAACAGAGGGCCAGCACCAUCUCGCACCUCCUACAUCGCACAGCACUCUCCAAUCUGCCAUUUAAUAGGCAGAAAAGCAGCUCGUGGGUGUAAUUACCACCGGCUCUCAGGGAAGAGGCGGUCACAGCCCUUACGGGUUCCUGGGGAGGGGGUUGGCCACGCUCAUUUUUUGGAGACGGGUCACUAUUUACAGGCGUGA
rnacentral:lncRNA from 1 species